AAAAUCCGUCACCUCAUCAACCCCGAGCAGCGAUGGUAAGCGGCAUCUGCCGCAAUUCGAGUGAGCCGAGCUGGCGAGAAAAGUGUCUAGCGAGAUCAAAGGUGUCCGUACCGCAAUCCGACACAGGUAGGCGGGUAGAGAAUACCAAGGCGAUCGGGAGAACCCUCGUUAAGGAACUCGGCAAAAAUGGCCCCGUAACUUCGGGAGAAGGGGCGCUCCGCAUGUCGGAGCCGCAGUGAAACGGCCCAGGCGACUGUUUAGCAAAAACACAGGUCUCUGCUAAAGCGAAAGCUGACGUAUAGGGGCUGACGCCUGCCCAGUGCCGGAAGGUUAAGAGGAGGGGUGCAAGCUCUGAAUCGAAGCCCCGGUAAACGGCGGCUGUAACUAUAACAGUCCUAAGGUAGCGAAAUUCCUUGUCGGGUAAGUACCGACCCGCACGAAUGGCGUAACGAUCUGGGCGCUGUCUCAACGAGGGAUCCGGCGAAAUUCAAGUACGAGUGAAGAUGCUCGUUACCCGCGAUAGGACAAAAAGACCCCGUGGAGCUUUACUGCACCCUGAUAUUGGAUUGGGGUUCAGCUUGUGUAGGAUAGGUGGGAGGCUGAGAAGCUGGGGCGCUAGCCUCGGUGGAGCCGACGUUGAAAUACCACCCUUGUUGGAUUUCGGUUCUAACCGCGACCCGUAAGCCGGGCGCGGAACAGUGUCAGGCGGGCAGUUUGACUGGGGCGGUCGCCUCCUAAAGUGUAACGGAGGCGCCCAAAGGUUCCCUCAGCCUGAAUGGAAACCAGGCGUAGAGUGCAAAGGCAUAAGGGAGCUUGACUGCGAGACCCACAAGUCGAGCAGAGACGAAAGUCGGGCUUAGUGAUCUGGUACCUCCGAGUGGAAGGGGUAUCACUCAACGGAUAAAAGCUACCCCGGGGAUAACAGGCUGAUGGUGCCCAAGAGUUCACAUCGACGGCACCGUUUGGCACCUCGAUGUCGGCCCGUGGCAUCCUGGGGCGGAAGUACGUCCCAAGGGUUCGGCUGUUCGCCGAUUAAAGCCGCUCGCGAGCUGGGUUCAGAACGUCGUGAGACAGUUCGGUCUCUAUCCAUCGUGGGCGUAGGGAACUUGAGAGGAGCUGCUCCUAGUACGAGAGGACCGGAGUGGACGAACCGCUGGUGUGCCAGUUGUCCCGCCAGGGGCAUUGCUGGGUAGCUACGUUCGGUUGGGAUAAGCGCUGAAAGCAUCUAAGUGCGAAGCUCGCCUCGAGAUGAGGUUCCCCACCGGGUCAACCGGGUAAGACCGCAGGGAGACCACCUGUUUGAUAGGCGGCGCGUGGAAGUCCGGCGACGGACGAAGCUGAGCCGUACUAAUGGUCGAGGGCUUGACCUC
rnacentral:rRNA from 1 species